UCUAAUUCUCCGCAGCAAGAUUGGCUGAUGAUAGCCACUCUCCCUGGACGAGGCCCGUUUGCAAUGCGCCCCGUUAGGACGCACCCGGCCGCCGGGCAGGACACGGCCUUGCCACGCGACGGAAACAGGUAACUUCAGGAGAUGCUGCAUGUCAAUGAUCCCAGCCUGCUGGAUGUCCAGAAACUACAGCUGUGAUAAACCUUCCUUUAUAGCUUUUCAAAGAUGUCGCACUUGGCACAGAAGUCCCUUAACCACAAGUUAUUGGUGGCUGGGCAUGUCUGUCUCUACAGAAUGCAACAGCAAGAUCCUGAAGUGAUGAUUACAGCCAAAACCUGUGAUUUCAUGUUCAGCUGAUUGCUUUUGACCAGUUUGAGAACAUUAGUAGCUUGCUGAAAUCCUUGUGGAUUAUCGGCAGGAGUCGCCUUUCUGGAGGACUUUGCUUUGGAGAGGAAAGUGACGACUUUGGUUGUCCUGCUGUGUAUUGAAGUACACGGCUCUAGUUGCACAAAACAAGAGGUUCACUAUGUGAUGACAUGGACAAAGCAGCCCCACGUCUUACAAAAACAGUUUCUUGCAAGUGUGAAGUCUAAAAAUAUCCCCCAGAUGGAGACACCCAGCAAUGCAAUGAGAGCAUGGAGGAAUAGAGCUUGCAAUGUGCAAAUGCAGCAGCUCUCUUCUAGGCCCAGGGGAGGUGUUGGGGGAUCCACAGCAAGUGACCGGAGGAGCAGCCAUAGCAGGUUUGCAAGAUCUAUGCGUGUAAAUUUCCCUGGCUUUCCCACCUAGAGAGUGAGCAGCUCCAAGAGGUCUGCUCUAUCCAUCCUUCCUCCCAGGCAGCAUUUGGAGGACGCCAAAGGAAUGCAAGUUCUGCACUCACGCUCUGCCAAUACAGGGAUUUUGCCUGGCGCAAGGGAGCAGUGAAGGCAAAAGUUAUCAAGACACACAUAACAGCAGCAUUGUUCAGGAGCGGGUUUGUUGCACACAGGCUGGGAGUUACACAUGCAAAAAGCCCCUUUUCCGAACACAGGAGGACAACACCGCAGGACCAGAAUGACCUUGCACCAGUCUUCCUGGGCAACAGGUUCGCUCAUAAAAUCUGCAUCAGAGACUUCCUUGCAAUUAGGUCAUUCAAUGUUUGAUCAUUUUUCUGUUCCAUAAGGUACAGAAAAUAUUUACAUUCAACACACAAGUUCUUUCUUCAAUUCCUUGACAGCAGACCGCUUUAAUUAUAUGUGUGCUGACAGGACUACAGAGAGAUCCCAUGUGACCGCGGUGGAAGGGAAGAAAGCUUAUCAUCAGGUGACAGAAGAAUGCCCUUAUUGUUAGUGCCAAUACUUACAAAUAAACCUUUCCAGUGUGUCAUAUACCGGUAUAAAUAUACCACUCCUGUGGCAUUGAGCUAAUAUGUUACUGAAGUAAGAACCAAGGAAGGUCUGCAUCUGAACCACUUCCCUCGGGACACAUGCGCUUCAAGAUUUGGCACAGAUUAACUGUACCAACUGUGAGCUGUGUGACUCACAACACAAAGUAUGCCAAAUAAUAGAACAUUUGCUAAUAUGGUCAGAGAAGGAUCCAUAAACCUCCUUGGGUUCUAGUCUUCACUCCUUUACCCCGGUUGCUGUUACUAGUUAUGCUGCAGUAGCUCCUAAGAGUCCUAAGCCACACGGCAGGACUUGCUUGUGCUAAGCGCUGUGCAAACACAGCAGCACAAAAUGGAUUCUGCUCUGAAAAGAUGAGCUUGCUUCCCAGCCUGGCUUCCACUGCAAUAAGUUCAAGGAUUAAUUCCGGCUUUAUUGCAGCGCAAGUUAACAGAAUUAGAUGCUCUGAGCUUAAAUUUGCACAGGAGAAAAUAGAAGUAUUUGUUAGAUUGUGAUUUCUCAUCACAGAGCGCAGGCAGGUAUCUUCAUCAAGCCAUCUCCUGCACUUCAGGAAAUAAUCUGGACUUUUACUCCUUACUGUACUUGAGCAAACCAGCUGCUCCAAAGAUCAAUACAUUUCACAGUGAAAUGGGAUAUUAUCUGCAUUGUAGUCCAUAGAAAGUUAAUCAGUAA